ACAGGGGUGCCGACUUUGGCUGAGAUUAUACCCUUAACCUGAUUCGGAUAAUGCCGACGUAGGGAGCUUGUUUU
rnacentral:ncRNA from 1 species